rnacentral:rRNA from 1 species
GGGGAAUAUUGCACAAUGGGCGAAAGCCUGAUGCAGCAACGCCGCGUGAGUGAUGACGGUCUUCGGAUUGUAAAGCUCUGUCUUUUGGGACGAUAAUGACGGUACCAAAGGAGGAAGCCACGGCUAACUACAUGCCAGCAGCCGCGGUAAUACGUAGGUGGCAAGCGUUGUCCGGAUUUACUGGGCGUAAAGGAUGUGUAGGCGGAUACUUAAGUGAGAUGUGAAAGCCCCGGGCUCAACCUGGGGACUGCAUUUCAAACUGGGUAUCUAGAGUGCAGGAGAGGAAAGCGGAAUUCCCAGUGUAGCGGUGAAAUGCGUAGAGAUUAGGAAGAACAGCAGUGGCGAAGGCGGCUUUCUGGACUGUAACUGACACUGAGGCUCGAAAGCGUGGGGAGCAAAC